ACGACGUCUCUGAGCUGUUCUGUUAUUCUGUUUCUUUUCUUUUCUCGUUGUUUCUGUAUUUUUUUUCCUUUAACCUGUUUGUUUCCUUUCUAUGUUUCCUUCGAGACCGCUCUUAGAAUAUUCGUAGACAACCCUCAAAUACGCCCUUCCACCUCCAAAUUAGUUCCCCCUGCGAUGCUUCAUUCCCGUGCACCGCAUUCCCCUCGAUCGAUGGAUUCUCCAUGCUGCGAUAUUGAUUGCAUGAGAUUGGCAAACUGGGUGCCACCCUAUUUCAUCCAUCUCGCUUCAAGUUGCUGUAAAAAACUGCUGAUUCUCCGGGAGACAGCGAUUGCGGAGAUGCGGGUCUGAACGAGCGACGUGCAUUGAAUCCAACACCGAAGGUGAUAGAUAAGGAUGAAGUCACUAGCCCAGGGGGAAUGUUCUCUAUCAUUAGGAUUUUCCUUUUACGGGUUCUUAUUAGCGUUUUGUUUUAGGGUUUUGUUUUAGGGUUUUCGAAAAUGGAGUUUUGAGGGCUCUUUUUUCUUCUUCUUUUUGAACAGGAAAAGGAAUUGGGUAUUCCUUGAUGUUGUCUA